CCUGACUCGCUCCGGCCGUCUUGUGGCCGGGUCUCCCUUCGAGUGGUCAUAAACCCUCGUCCCCCCUUCUCUCUCAUCCCCACAUCUCUCGACCUACCGGACGCGGCAGCCAAACCCUAGCCUCCCCCUCGACCCGCCCUUCCGGCCACCGCGUGUUCAGCGGUGAAGGAUGAGCAGGCGCUGGAGCCGCACGAUCUACGUCGGGAACCUCCCGGGCGACAUCCGGGAGAGGGAGGUGGAGGAUCUCUUCUACAAGUAUGGGAGAAUUGUUGACAUUGACUUGAAGGUUCCCCCGAGGCCACCUGGUUAUGCUUUUGUUGAGUUCGAAAAUCCUCGUGAUGCUGAAGAUGCAAUUGCUGGGCGGGAUGGAUACAAUUUUGAUGGACACCGCCUAAGAGUCGAACCCGCUCACGGUGGUAGAGGUAAUGCUUCCUCAUAUGACCGUUCAGGUGGCUUUGGUGGUGGAGCACGACGUGGUGUGUCAAAGCACUCAGAGUAUCGUGUUCUUGUCAGUGGACUGCCUUCUUCUGCAUCAUGGCAGGAUUUGAAGGAUCAUAUGCGGAAGGCUGGUGAUGUUUGUUUCUCUGAAGUGUACCGUGAAGGCGGUGGCACCAUUGGAAUUGUGGACUACACAAACUAUGAUGACAUGAAAUAUGCUAUAAAGAAGCUGGAUGAUACUGAAUUCAGGAACGCCUUUGGGCGAGCUUAUAUAAGGGUGAAGGAAUAUGAUGGCAAGCGUGGUCGCUCCUACUCACGUAGCCGAAGCCCAAGUCGUAGCUACAGCAGAAGCAGGAGCCCGAGCAAAUCACCAAGAGCUCGCCGCUCAGCAUCUAGAUCCCGGUCGAGGUCUGUUUCUUCCCGUUCAAGGUCUGCAUCAAAAGGGCGUUCUCCGUCAAGCACCCUGGUGCCGUCAAUUAAGUGAACACAGCUAUAUUCCCAGACUCAAUUGUCUCGCCGUUUAAUCUGGGAUUGUACGGUGAUCUGGGGAUUGCGCAUUAGGAUAUUGAGGAUGGGAUUUUCGCAAUUUGCUACAAUUCAGUUGGUUUUAUAAGGUAUGGUUGCUAAUUGAGAGCUUCUAUGGAAAGCUAAAAUCGUCCACAUGUUUUACCUAAUGUACUGUAACUGAUUGCCAUCAGAGCUUGGGCUUAGCGCAUUGUUUGGAAUACUGGACAUAGGAGCGUUAAGGAUUGAUGAUCUGGAUUAUGGUGGUACAGUGACUAGGAAUAUGCUUGGAGUCCAAUGCUUGGGGAAUGAGUUUUCUUCCUACCUCGGGCACACUCUUCAGAUGGUUGCUGUAGUUCAUAUGCACUGUUGACAUUAUGCUACUUUACAUUAUUGCAUGGAACUGAAUGCUUCUGUUUUCGAUGAGCUUUUAUUGCUUUCGUUCGGCUGCGCGAGGCGUCAUGGCUUUUGGAAUCAAGUUGUUAAAGCCGCAUUUCGGGUAUUGAAUUCAGUUGUUUCUGGAACCUUUUGCAGAUCACCAGCAAGAUCCAAAUCUCCUAAUGCUUCUCCAGCAAAUGGUGAAGCAGCAAGCCCCAAGAAGCAGAGCCCAAGCAGAAGCCCAUCUGGCUCACGCUCUCCUGAUGCGAAACCUGAAUAAAACUGGUGUGCUCGACGAGGCAUUGCAGAUGGGAGUCCAGAGCUCAGCUUUGUCUGGACACCUGAUGUCCUCCAUAUUGUUCUAGUACCAUCGCUGUCCUAGCAACUGUGCAAUGAGAUUGGAUAUUAACUAUCAGUUUGUAUCGUUGGACCCCCCACUUUGUUAUGUUUUCUGGCCCGCUGAAGGGCUCAUUUUUACUUCAAUUAUUCGUGGCUGUUGAAUGCUAUGUGGAUUUGGAUUAUGUUGACUAAAUCAUGUUGUUCUGGACCU